AAACCCUCUUGCUACUAAAAAUACAAAAAAUUAGCCGGGUGUGGUGGCACACGCCUGUAGUCCCAGCUACUCGGGAGGUGUCAGAGCGAGACUCCGUCCCCCCCUCCAAAGAAAAAAAGCUUUGCCAGCCCUGCUCUUCCCACCGCCCGCCUGCCGCUGGGCUCAGAGACAACAGGCCUGGCAGGGGGAUGGGGAAGGACUGGGAGGGGGCUCAGGGCCCUCACAGGCAGGGGGGCUCCCAGGCCCAGCCCCAAGUGCUAUGUCUUUGUCUCCCCCAGUGGCUCCUCAAUUCCCCCUCCUCUAGUCUCCCGCGUUCCCUCCCCAAUCCAUCUUCCACACAGCGACCAGGGUGAGCUUUCUAAUACGAGCUGCAUCCUGACACUGCCUUCCUUUAGAACUUUCCAUGGAUCCCCGUCUCCUGGAGGCUAAGAGUCAAAUUCUUUAUCAUGGCAUUCAAAGAAUUCAUUCAUUCAUUCAUCACUCAUUCAUUCAACAAAUAUUUUUUGAGCACCUACUAUGUGCCAGGGAGCCUGCCAGGUAUACAUGGUCAAUAAAACCAGCGAGAUCCCUGCCUUCAUGGAACUUCCAAUCUAGUGAGGAAGACACACUGAGAAUAAAAUACAAGUCAACGGAUACACGAUUACAAUCAUGAGAGUUGGGAGGAAGUGG
rnacentral:lncRNA from 10 species